CCUACGGGAGGCAGCAGUGAGGAAUAUUGGUCAAUGGACGAGAGUCUGAACCAGCCAAGUCGCGUGAAGGAUGACUGCCCUAUGGAUUGUAAACUUCUUUUAUAUGGGAAUAAAAUGUUCCACGUGUAGGAUUUUGUAUGUACCCUAUGAAUAAGGAACGGCUAACUCCGUGCCAGCAGCCGCGGUAAUACGGAGGAUCCGAGCGUUAUCCGUAUUUAUUGGGUUUAAAGGGAGCGUAGGUGGAAUGUAAAGUCAGUUGUGAAAGUGUGCGGCUCAACCGUAAAAGUGCAGUUGAAACUGGCAGUCUUGAGUACAGUAGAGGUGGGCGGAAUUCGUGGUGUAGCGGUGAAAUGCUUAGAGAUCACGAAGAACUCCGAUUGCGAAGGCAGCUCACUGGACUGCAACUGACGCUGAGGCUCGAAAGUGGGGGUAUCAAACAGGAUUAGAUACCCGGGUAGUC
rnacentral:rRNA from 1 species